AUGCUUUGGUCCGGUUCUCUAUUAAAAAAAAUUCCUGCUCAUAAGAAACAAGCUGCCUUGCAGGAAAUGUUUAACUUUGUUCAAACUAAAGAUGAGAGUCUCCCACAAGCUUGGGGGAGGCUUUGCCAGUUACUUAAUGCUUUUCCUAAUCAUCCUCUUAAGGAAACUGAAAUACUUGAUAUCUUCUAUAAUGGACUAACCGAUGCUUCUAGGGACUUCCUAGAUAGUUGUGCUGGUUGUGUUCUCAGGGAACGAACUAUUGCUCAAGCUGAAGAACUAUUGAAUAACAUAUUGAAAAAUUAUGAUGAUUGGACUAUUCCUGAACCACUGCCUAAACCCAUUCCGAAGAAGAGGGGUAUAUUAUAUCUCAGUCCUGAGGAUAUGCAAGAGGCGAAGAAAUCUAUGAAGGAAAAAUGUAUUAAGGUUGAGGAUGUUAAAAAUUUACCACCUAUCGAAGAAAUACAUGGGUUUGAAGCACCACCACCACCUAAGGUGGUAGAGGUAAAAUCUUUAAUGAAAUUCAAUGAUAGUGAUGAUCCUCAUAAUAAACAUCCUAGUCAAUGCCUUUAUGAAUUUUAUACUUACAUUAGAAAGCAAGAUCACUUCAAUGCAAAUGUUAUGAAACAACUGAAACAUAUUUCUUAUAUGAUUGCUCGCUUGAGUGACUUGUUAUUUAGAAUCUCAAAUGAUGUUAGAGGUGUUGGAAAACAUGCCUCUAUGGUUCAAACCCAGCUAGAACAAGUUGCUAAAUCGCAAAGAGAAUUACUUGAUGAAAUGAAUCAUAAUAUACAUGACUUUGCUGUUAGAGUUGCAACUAGAGGAGGUAAAAUGACUCAGGAACCACUUUAUCCUGAGGGACAUCCAAAGAGAAUUGAACAAGAUUCGCAAAGAAAUAACACCACUACAUCUAGUUCUUCUAAAAAGAAAAAUGAUAGGACUUUGCAUGCUUCUAGUGAACUUGAAAUAGACAAACCUCCUGAUAAUGAAAAUGGAACUUCUAUCUCGGAUGCUGAAACUCAAUCAGGUAAUGAACAUCCACAUAGUGAUAAUGAAAAAGACAAUGAUGAGGUUCCUGAAGACACUCAAACAAAUAAUGAUAAAGAACCAGAUAAUGAUGUUGAGAUAUAA
rnacentral:rRNA from 1 species